GGUGGUGCAUGGUUGUCGUCAGCUCGUGUCGUGAGAUGUUGGGUUAAGUCCGCAACGAGCGCAACCCUUAUUGCUAGUUACCAUCAUUCAGUUGGGGACUCUAGCGAGACUGCCAGUGAUAAACUGGAGGAAGGUGGGGAUGACGUCAAAUCAUCAUGCCCCUUAUGACCUGGGCUACAAACGUGAUACAAUGGCUGAAACAAAGGGCAGCGAAGCAGUGAUGUGGAGCGAAACCCAAAAAAGCAGUCUCAGUUCGGAUUGAAGUCUGCAACUCGACUUCAUGAAGUCGGAAUCGCUAGUAAUCGCGGAUCAGAACGCCGCGGUGAAUACGUUCUCGGGGUUU
rnacentral:rRNA from 1 species